GCAAGCGUUGUUCGGAAUUACUGGGCGUAAAGGGCUCGUAGGUGGCCAACUAAGUCAGACGUGAAAUCCCCAGGCUCAACUUGGGAACUGCGUCUGAUACUGGAUGGCUUGAAUUCGGGAGAGGGAUGCAGAAUUCCAGGUGUAGCGGUGAAAUGCGUAGAUAUCUGGAGGAAUACCGGUGGCGAAGGCGGCAUCCUGGACCGAUAUUGACACUGAUGAGCGAAAGCUAGGGGAGCAAACGGG
rnacentral:rRNA from 1 species